rnacentral:rRNA from 1 species
GAGGCACUGCCUGCCCAGUGACACAUGUUUAACGGCCGCGGUACCCUGACCGUGCAAAGGUAGCAUAAUCACUUGUUCUCUAAAUAGGGACUUGCAUGAAUGGCCACACGAGGGUUUAACUGUCUCUUACUUUUAAUCAGUGAAAUUGACCUAUCCGUGAAGAGGCGGAUAUAACUAAAUAAGACGAGAAGACCCUAUGGAGCUUCAAUUUAAUAAUACAAACAAAUACUCUAAAUACCUACAGGCACUAACCCACUGUCAAUGUAUUAUAAAUUUUGGUUGGGGUGACCUCGGAGCACAGCACAACCUCCGAAAACUUAUACCAAGACCUCACUAGUCUAAGUAAUUUACACCUAUUGACCCAAUAACUUGAUCAACGGACCAAGUUACCCUAGGGAUAACAGCGCAAUCCUAUUUUAGAGUUCAUAUCGACAAUAGGGUUUACGACCUCGAUGUUGGAUCAAGACAUCCUAAUGGUGCAGCCGCUAUUAAGGGUUCGUUUGUUCAACGAUUAAAGUCUUACGUGAUAAUGGAGCCUACCUCACAAGGCGCUCCCAUAAAUCAAAUGAUUAUAAUCUUAAUUUCACAAAUUACUACCCCCGCCCAAGAACAGGGCUU